rnacentral:rRNA from 1 species
CGCGUAGGCGGUCUCUUAAGUCAGAUGUGAAAGCCCGGGGCUUAACCCUGGAAGUGCAUUUGAAACUAAGGGACUUGAGUAUGGGAGAGGGAAGUGGAAUUCCUGGUGUAGAGGUGAAAUUCGUAGAUAUCAGGAGGAACACCGGUGGCGAAGGCGACUUCCUGGACCAAUACUGACGCUGAGGCGCGAAGGCGUGGGGAGCAAACA